AUUGAACGCUGGCGGUAUGCUUAACACAUGCAAGUCGAACGGUAGGUACUUCGGUACUGAGAGUGGCGGACGGGUGAGUAACGCGUAGGAAUCUGCCCUGUAGUGGGGGACAACGUGGGGAAACUCACGCUAAUACCGCAUACGCCCCAAGGGGGAAAGCGGGGGACCGUAAGGCCUCGCGCUAUAGGAUGAGCCUGCGUUGGAUUAGCUAGUUGGUAGGGUAAAGGCCUACCAAGGCGACGAUCCAUAGCUGGUCUGAGAGGACGAUCAGCCACACUGGGACUGGGACACGGCCCAGACUCCUACGGGAGGCAGCAGUGGGGAAUAUUGGGCAAUGGGCGCAAGCCUGAUCCAGCGAUACCGCGUGUGUGAAGAAGGCCUGAGGGUUGUAAAGCACUUUCAAUGGGGAGGAAAAAGCACGGGCGAAUACCCUGUUCCUUGACAUUACCCAUACAAGAAGCACCGGCUAACUCCGUGCCAGCCGCCGCCGUAAAAC
rnacentral:rRNA from 1 species